rnacentral:rRNA from 1 species
UACGGGGGGGGCAAGCGUUGUUCGGAAUUACUGGGCGUAAAGGGCUCGUAGGCGGCCAACUAAGUCAGACGUGAAAUCCCUCGGCUUAACCGGGGAACUGCGUCCGAUACUGGCAGGCUUGAAUCCGGGAGAGGGAUGUGGAAUUCCAGGUGUAGCGGUGAAAUGCGUAGAUAUCUGGAGGAACACCGGUGGCGAAGGCGGCAUCCUGGACCGGUAUUGACGCUGAUGCGCGAAAGCCAGGGGAGCAAACGGG